rnacentral:rRNA from 1 species
GGACCCGCACAAGCAGUGGAGCAUGUGGUUUAAUUCGAAGCAACGCGAAGAACCUUACCAAGUCUUGACAUCCCUUCGAAUAAUGCGUAAAAGUGUUAGCUCUUCGGAGCGAAGGAGACAGGUGGUGCAUGGUUGUCGUCAGCUCGUGUCGUGAGAUGUUGGGUCAAGUCCCGCAACGAGCGCAACCCUUAUGGUCAGUAGCCAGCAGGUCAAGCUGGGCACUCUGGCCAGACUGCCCGGGAUAACCGGGAGGAAGGUGGGGAUGACGUCAAAUCAUCAUGCCCCUUAUGAUUUGGGCAACACACGUGCUACAAUGGCGUAAACAAAGGGAAGCGAAGGAGCGAUCCGGAGCGAAACCCAAAAAUAACGUCCCAGUUCGGACUGUAGUCUGCAACCCGACUACACGAAGCUGGAAUUGCUAGUAAUCGCGAAUCAGCAUGUCGCGGUGAAUACGUUCCCGGGUCUU